CAUAAUCGUUAGGCAUUACUGUCCAUCCUCAUUCAGUGACUUUGCCUGUACGCGUGAACGAAAAAUAAAAUAUAUGAUAAAUGUAAUAUGUGCUCUCCGGACAUUCCAUUCGGCACCUGAAUAUAUGUCUGUGUAUGUGUGUGUGUGUGUUACAGGGUGUCCCGCGUAGGUGGACAAUAGUUUUAAUCUACAAGAUGGCGGAACAGAAAUUAUGCAAAAUGGAGAAAUGGAAAAGGUUUUCUAAGAUUUCUAGAACCUUCUUAUGAUUUCUAGAAGACUUUCUGGUAUUUUUUAAUUGCUCUUGAACUUCUUUAGGAUUUUCCUAGAUUUUAAGACCAAAAUCAGUUUGUAGGAGUGUAUGGUCCAUUUGCAUGGGACACCGUGUAUAUGUGUGUCUGUGUGUCACCGUUAUGCGAAACAUAUGGUCGCGACCGUCGAUCACCCACUUCUCCCGCUUUACGUCCUAAAAUCUAGCUUCGCGGAUGUUCGUUCGAGGGUCCGAAACAUUUUGAGCUAGACGUGGAAAAAUAAUCUAUUGUUGCAAACGUCGUAUGAUAGAAGUCCGCACACUCGUACGUAUUUACAUACAUACAUGUACACACGGAACACGUUCCACUACAUUUCUUCUUAUUUAAUUUUUUUAAUUCUUUAUUAUAUUUAGUCUAAAAAGGAUCGACGAUCGUGCUGCUUCGAAACAAAUCGACGAAGAGGAAACGUCUGAUGUAGGAUCCUUUCUUUUUUAAAAUCGUUCGAUGAUAUUACGCUACUAGUUUCGUGGAUAUAAAUACACUAGCACUUAUAACAAACGCAAUGUACCAACGCGUGAUUCCAUUACGUUUGAUUAGGUUUGAUUGAGUUUGAGCAACGUCCGCGGAUCACUUUCGAUCGCGCGAACAAAGUGAUUCUAUAAAAUGGUUCCAAGCGAAUGAUACUCAUACAGCACCCUUUCGAAACAGCAUAAUUGUCGAUGGAAUAAAUUUCUUUUUUUUUUCGUUAUAAUAUCGCACUUUGCGAUUAGAAUCACGUGAAACACGUGGCAGUAACAUCGAGAUUACGUAAAAACAUUGCACUUUUCGUGAAAAAUAUUCGCCGGAAACGCAUGGGUUUUGAUCGGUACGUAUCUUCACCGAUUUAUUCUUGCGAGUUUAACUGAAGAGAAAGAAAAUACCCUCCUUUUCUAUAUUAGGUACAUCCGUGCUACUUAGGUUAACACUUUAUCUACCGGUUGCAAAUGAAAAUAAACGCUAUCUUUAUCAUUUAUACUUUCAAUUUCUUCUUAAUCGUAAUACCUAACUUUUAUUGUUUUCACUGACUUAUAGACGAAUAUACAUUCAAUUCCCCUAGGAUCUAUUGUUCACAGAAUUUUUAUGGAAUCACUCUUGAAUCGCCCCGGGAUUACUAGAACUAUUUUGUUUAGAUAUCUAUCGGAUAUCUUUUAGAUCUAGCGGAGCCGGCGCUAUUGAAACGCGCCAAACCCGAAUCGCGUCGAAUUUGAAACGCUAAAUCACAUCAAAUCGUGUUGAAUUAAAAGUGUGUCGAAUUUGAAACGCGUUGAAUUUCGAGCGUGCCAAAUUUGAAUGUCAAAUUGAAUCGCAUCAAGUUCAAAUCGAAUCACAUCUGCGGUCUAUGAAAUUUCAUAUUCAAUUGAAUCAUAUCAAAUUUGAAAUCUAUCGAAUCACGUCAAAUUUGAAAUGCAUCGAAUUUGAAAUAUAUCGAAUCGAAUUAUAGCAAAUUUGAAGUGUAUUGAGUCGAAUUAUAUGAAAUUUGAAAAGCGUAGAACCGAAUCGUCAAAUUUGAAAUGCAUCGAAUUUUAAACGCGCCAAAUUUGAAACUCGAGCUUCAAUUUAAAUCACACAGACCUUAAUUUCUAUUUGCUAUAUUAUAUACUAAUUAUAUCCUGAAAACUAGUAAUUUGACGUACAUUAUAGAGAACAUAAUUUCCUAACUGACCUUGUCAACGUAAACUUACAAGGACUACAAAAUCUUGUUAAUAAAUUCCCGGUAGGUAAAGUGUUAAGCAACAAUGUCAAUGCCGAUUCUCGCAAUUAACUUCCUCGUCAUUUUCACGAUCGAUAUGAUGAACGAAUAGCAAGAUGAUUCCAUGGAAUCGUUCUUUGUUCUUUCGGUACGAUUGAAGUGUAUUUUUACUUGUCUUUGUUCUUUGUCACGAUAUGCAUCGAAAUUGCAUAUCCGGCACACGGUGUUCACAGAAUACCGUGUGUCCUUUUUCGCUCUCCGUUAUUCUCGUAAUUUUUACGAAGUUGCGCGCUUUUUCGAUUGGCAAUUCUGUUCCAUCGUCUUAUUUAUUAACACUUUGACUUUCAUACCAUUUGCUUUCUUCCACUUUAUCGAAUUUAAAAAUAAAAACUCGAGUAUAAUUCUAUCGGUGUAGAAUAUAAAAAGGAAUGCAAAAUUGCAAGAAUGGUUGUAGAAAAUGUACGGCAGUCAAAGUGUCAAUUGAAGUAUCAUUAACCUAUUAACCGAGGAGACUUGUAAUCUUUUACCAAUCAAAACGAUUUUUCGCAAUGAGUAAUCCUCGGUUAAUAGGCUAAUCAACAUUCUACAACUACGUGAAAGCGAUGAACGUUUAGAUUCGAAUGAUUAACGUUAAGAUGAAUGCCAUAGGAGUUUAGCACAUUAAAGUCAUUUAAAUUUCAUUAAAUGAGUAAAAUUGCAUUGAUGAUUGGCAAUGACAAAAUAAUUAAAUUUAAAUAUUUCAACCCCUUAUAUAAUAAUUAAUAUUUAAUAUUAAUUAUAAUUAAUGUUUUUGAUAUCAAAUUCUACUUCAGUCGCAAAUUACGAUACAAACAAAAUCUUGUUAUUUAACAUAUCUUGUAUGAAUUUGAAUUAAAUUGUAAAUGAGAUUUGUGGAAUUGAAAUUUAUCGCACAUUUAUUUUGGCAUUUGCGGUCGACUGAUUCUACUUAAGUGAUAAAACAGCGAUAAGAGGUUAAUUUAUUUUAUCAUUUAUGGUAAUAUCUCCUGUGGCAGUCAAUAUGUUAACGAAGUAAAGAUACUGCACUAAGCUCGAAAAUUAAUUUACGAAAUUAAUUUUGAGCUGAUCUUAACAUUUUAAGGAACAGACAAAUUUUUCAAAUUUGCUAAAUUUUUAAUAUUUCUCAGUUUCCAAUUCUUAAAUGUCCGUCCUUAAAAUGUCAAGCAACCGGAAUUCUUCGUACAAGAAACAUAAUCGAAUAAUCAAUAAAACUGAUUAGCCAUCGCACGCGAUUAGUUCUACGUUAUAAAAUGCGUUUGAUCCACGAAACGAUUUCUAUAAAAAGUGCGACUUCUUAAAAAGUAGAAUCAUUUAACUUGUCAAUCAUUUCAUCAAUACACUAAUAUAAAUUUAUAUCGAAGUAUAAAAUUACAAUCUGUAAAUUACGUACUCACUUUUCGAUUAGGCACGCUAAUUCUUUUUACUGUAAUUUAAAUAUUCGAAUGUGUUUAUUAUAAAAUUUGACAACUUUCGAAAGACGUUAAAAUACGAUAAGAUGCGCAGUUUCGAUUAUAAUUUUAUAAAGUUUCAAUCAUAAUUUUUAAAAUUGAAACUGUUCAAUUAUAAUUUUAAAAAUUGAAACUUUGUGUCGAUGAGAUACAUCUUAUCAUAUUUUUCGGAUAGAGUACCUUAUCAGAAAGGGAUUGUAAACUUUCUCGCUAGAACGUAGUUCUAAUAGUGAUAUCAACUUUGAGAUUACGAAAUUUCAUCGAAAAAUACAAAUGUAUAUUCAGUACGAUCGCAGGUUGAGUGCAGUUAAGUUUCUACUUAAACUUUUCGUUCAUAUUCUUCUUUCCAUUUACUUUCUAAGAUCUUUCACGCGUGUUGCAACCGAUAAACUACAAUCACUACGUUCUUGCAAGACCUGGUCACGUAGAAAGAGUGUAUAGUAAAAUCGUGGUUUAUUUUGUUCUUCGGCACUUCGUCAUACGUUUAAAAUAGUACGACGUUUUCGAGCGACGUUGUGUGGGGAAAAAUCAUCAAUCCGUUUGAGCAUAUAAUUUAUGCGCUAAGAAAAAAAAUAUUAUCGUUUGUCUCUUAAUUAUAAAAACUUGUAAAACUUCUUAUCGUUGAAGAUUCUUAGUACUUCUUUUGAAAGAAUUUUUCUUUCGCAUGUGAUUUACAGUGAGAAGUCUUUAACGAUAUUCGGCUACUUUGAUAACAAAAACGAUUUUAGAUACCUUUCGUUACUGCCAAGAGAGUUUAUAGAAAGGCAGCACGCGGAACGUAAUGGUGCUUUACAUUUAUGUUACAAGAUGUGAGAUUUAGUAUAGUUAUUGUACGAAGUAAAUUUGUCUUAGAUUUAUUAACA
rnacentral:lncRNA from 1 species